CGUUCUAUGGCCGAAUUGGUAAAGGCAUCGCCGAUCACAGGCGAGGUUGUGGGUUCGAGUCCCGUUGGAACGG
rnacentral:tRNA from 1 species